UCCUGGCUUAGGACGAACGCUGGCGGCGCGCCUAACACAUGCAAGUCGAACGAGAGAGAGGGAGCUUGCUUCCUCAAUCGAGUGGCGAACGGGUGAGUAACGCGUGAGGAACCUGCCUCAAAGAGGGGGACAACAGUUGGAAUCGACUGCUAAUACCGCAUAAGCCCACGGCUCGGCAUCGAGCAGAGGGAAAAGGAGCAAUCCGCUUUGAGAUGGCCUCGCGUCCGAUUAGCUAGUUGGUGAGGUAAUGGCCCACCAAGGCGACGAUCGGUAGCCGGACUGAGAGGUUGAACGGCCACAUUGGGACUGAGACACGGCCCAGACUCCUACGGGAGGCAGCAGUGGGGAAUAUUGCACAAUGGGGGAAACCCUGAUGCAGCGACGCCGCGUGGAGGAAGAAGGUCUUCGGAUUGUAAACUCCUGUUGUUGAGGAAGAUAAUGACGGUACUCAACAAGGAAGUGACGGCUAACUACGUGCCAGCAGCCGCGGUAAAACGUAGGUCACAAGCGUUGUCCGGAAUUACUGGGUGUAAAGGGAGCGCAGGCGGGAAGACAAGUUGGAAGUGAAAUCUAUGGGCUCAACCCAUAAACUGCUUUCAAAACUGUUUUUCUUGAGUAGUGCAGAGGUAGGCGGAAUUCCCGGUGUAGCGGUGGAAUGCGUAGAUAUCGGGAGGAACACCAGUGGCGAAGGCGGCCUACUGGGCACCAACUGACGCUGAGGCUCGAAAGUGUGGGUAGCAACAGGAUUAGAUACCCUGGUAGUCCACACCGUAAACGAUGAUUACUAGGUGUUGGAGGAUUGACCCCUUCAGUGCCGCAGUUAACACAAUAAGUAAUCCACCUGGGGAGUACGACCGCAAGGUUGAAACUCAAAGGAAUUGACGGGGGCCCGCACAAGCAGUGGAGUAUGUGGUUUAAUUCGACGCAACGCGAAGAACCUUACCAAGUCUUGACAUCCUGCGACGCACAUAGAAAUAUGUAUUUCCUUCGGGACGCAGAGACAGGUGGUGCAUGGUUGUCGUCAGAUCGUGUCGUGAGAUGUUGGGUUAAGUCCCGCAACGAGCGCAACCCUUACUGUCAGUUACUACGCAAGAGGACUCUGGCAGGACUGCCGUUGACAAAACGGAGGAAGGUGGGGAUGACGUCAAAUCAUCAUGCCCUUUAUGACUUGGGCUACACACGUACUACAAUGGCGUUAAACAAAGAGAAGCAAGACCGCGAGGUGGAGCAAAACUCAGAAACAACGUCCCAGUUCGGACUGCAGGCUGCAACUCGCCUGCACGAAGUCGGAAUUGCUAGUAAUCGUGGAUCAGCAUGCCACGGGAAUACGUUCCCGGGCCUUGACACACCGCCCGUC
rnacentral:rRNA from 1 species